rnacentral:rRNA from 1 species
UCUGUCCUACGGGGCGCAGCAGUAGGGAAUCUUCCACAAUGGGCGAAAGCCUGAUGGAGCAACGCCGCGUGGGUGAAGAAGGUCUUCGGAUCGUAAAACCCUGUUGUUAGAGAAGAGAGUGCGUGAGAGUAACUGUUCACAUUUCGACGGUAUCUAACCAGAAAGCCACGGCUAACUACGUGCCAGUAGCCGCGGUAAUACGUAGGUGGCAAGCGCUAUCCGGAUUUAUUGGGCGUAAAGCGAGUGCAGGCGGCUC